rnacentral:rRNA from 1 species
AUUGAACGCUGGCGGCAGGCCUAACACAUGCAAGUCGAGCGGAUGAAGGGAGCUUGCUCCUGGAUUCAGCGGCGGACGGGUGAGUAAUGCUUAGGAAUCUGCCUGGUAGUGGGGGAUAACGUCCGGAAACGGGCGCUAAUACCGCAUACGUCCUGAGGGAGAAAGUGGGGGAUCUUCGGACCUCACGCUAUCAGAUGAGCCUAGGUCGGAUUAGCUAGUUGGUGGGGUAAAGGCCUACCAAGGCGACGAUCCGUAACUGGUCUGAGAGGAUGAUCAGUCACACUGGAACUGAGACACGGUCCAGACUCCUACGGGAGGCAGCAGUGGGGAAUAUUGGACAAUGGGCGAAAGCCUGAUCCAGCCAUGCCGCGUGUGUGAAGAAGGUCUUCGGAUUGUAAAGCACUUUAAGUUGGGAGGAAGGGCAGUAAGUUAAUACCUUGCUGUAUUGACGUUACCAACAGAAUAAGCACCGGCUAACUUCGUG